rnacentral:misc_RNA from 1 species
CUACCAUUCAAGCUUUUUGCUUGGUUUUGGGUAUUGUAGCCCUCUUAACUUAGUUUAGGGGUUUACAUAUCUUAAAUAUAGACGGCAGCAAGUAUAAGUUCUGAGCGUAGCAGUAAUAACAUUUCGCUUUUAGAAACUUUUAUAUUUGUUAACCCGAAAAGUAUAUUUACA